rnacentral:rRNA from 1 species
AUUGAACGCUGGCGGCAGGCCUAACACAUGCAAGUCGAGCGGAUGAAGGGAGCUUGCUCCUGGAUUCAGCGGCGGACGGGUGAGUAAUGCCUAGGAAUCUGCCUGGUAGUGGGGGAUAACGUCCGGAAACGGGCGCUAAUACCGCAUACGUCCUGCGGGAGAAAGUGGGGGAUCUUCGGACCUCACGCUAUCAGAUGAGCCUAGGUCGGAUUAGCUAGUUGGUGGGGUAAAGGCCUACCAAGGCGACGAUCCGUAACUGGUCUGAGAGGAUGAUCAGGCACACUGGAACUGAGACACGGUCCAGACUCCUACGGGAGGCAGCAGUGGGGAAUAUUGGACAAUGGGCGAAAGCCUGAUCCAGCCAUGCCGCGUGUGUGAAGAAGGUCUUCGGAUUGUAAAGCACUUUAAGUUGGGAGGAAGGGCAGUAAGUUAAUACCUUGCUGUUUUGACGUUACCAACAGAAUAAGCACCGGCUAACUUCGUG